GUUCCUAUAGUUGAGUUACAACGGCGGUUCUUCAAGUCGUUAGUCUCGGUUAGAGUCCGAGUGGGAAUU
rnacentral:tRNA from 1 species